CUUUUAUGUUUGUGAGUGACUUGGUCCCUUCAGACUUUUAUGAUAUGUUUGUGAGUGACUUGGUCCAGUUUAUACACCAAUAAAUUCCUAUAAAAGGUGUUAAAUCCUUAUAAAUCUUUAAAAUUGGAGAUAGGAAAUACAUUUUUCCACACUCGUUACUUCUAUCACACAUAAACUGUAUAUUGAUGUCAUUGAAUAGGCCUGGCGC
rnacentral:lncRNA from 1 species